CCUACGUGGGGCUGCAGUGGGGAAUAUUGGACAAUGGGCGAAAGCCUGAUCCAGCCAUGCCGCGUGUGUGAAGAAGGCCUUCGGGUUGUAAAGCACUUUCAGUGGGGAAGAAAGCCUUGGGGCUAAUACCCUCGAGGAAGGACAUCACCCACAGAAGAAGCACCGGCUAACUCCGUGCCAGCAGGCGCGGUAAUACGGAGGGUGCGAGCGUUAAGCGGAAUUACUGGGCGUAAAGCGCGCGUAGGCGGUCUGAUAAGCCGGUUGUGAAAGCCCCGGGCUCAACCUGGGAACGGCAUCCGGAACUGUCAGGCUAGAGUGCAGGAGAGGAAGGUAGAAUUCCCGGUGUAGCGGUGAAAUGCGUAGAGAUCGGGAGGAAUACCAGUGGCGAAGGCGGCCUUCUGGACUGACACUGACGCUGAGGUGCGAAAGCGUGGGUAGCAAACAGGAUUAGAUACCCUAGUAGUC
rnacentral:rRNA from 1 species